CUACGGGAGGCUGCAGUGGGGAAUAUUGGACAAUGGGGGAAACCCUGAUCCAGCAAUGCCGCGUGUGUGAAGAAGGCCUGCGGGUUGUAAAGCACUUUCGGUUGGGAGGACUGCUUCUAGCACUAAUAUUGUUGGAAGUUGACGUUACCUUCAGAAGAAGCACCGGCUAACUCCGUGCCAGCAGCCGCGGUAAUACGGAGGGUGCAAGGCGUUAAUCGGAAUUACUGGGCGUAAAGCGCGCGUAGGCGGCUAGAUCAUGCGGGUGUGAAAGCCCCGGGCUUAACCUGGGAACUGCAUCCGAUACUGUCUAGCUUGAGUACAGGAGAGGAGAGUGGAAUUCCACAUGUAGCGGUGAAAUGCGUAGAUAUGUGGAGGAACACCAAUGGCGAAGGCAGCUCUCUGGCCUGAUACUGACGCUGAGGUGCGAAAGCGUGGGGAGCAAACAGGAUUAGAUACCCCAGUAGUC
rnacentral:rRNA from 1 species